rnacentral:rRNA from 1 species
GUGGGGAAUCUUCCACAAUGGACGAAAGUCUGAUGGAGCAACGCCGCGUGAGUGAAGAAGGGUUUCGGCUCGUAAAGCUCUGUUGUCGGGGACGAAUGUGCAGUAUUUGAAUAAAGUACUGUAAUGACGGUACCUGACGAGGAAGCCACGGCUAACUACGUGCCAGCAGCCGCGGUAAUACGUAGGUGGCAAGCGUUGUCCGGAAUUAUUGGGCGUAAAGGGAGCGCAGGCGGGAAGGUAAGUCGGUCUUAAAAGUGCGGGGCUCAACCCCGUGAUGGGAUCGAAACUAUCUUUCUUGAGUGCAGGAGAGGAAAGUGGAAUUCCUAGUGUAGCGGUGAAAUGCGUAGAUAUUAGGAGGAACACCAGUGGCGAAGGCGACUUUCUGGACUGUAACUGACGCUGAGGCUCGAAAGCCAGGGGAGCGAACGGGAUUAGAUACCCUUGUAGUCC